GUCACACCAUGGGAGUGGGCUGCAAAAGAAGUAGGUAGUUUAACCUUCGGGGGGACGCUUACCACUUUGUGGUUCAUGACUGGGGUGAAGUCGUAACAAGGUAGCGCUAGGGGAACCUGGCGCUGGAUCACCUCCUUAWACGAUGAU
rnacentral:rRNA from 1 species